AUUAAAGAAGCAUGUGGACAAGCAACUAUCUCUGAAAUAUUUUCAGAGCUUCUCUGGUUUUACAUGCAUAGUAAAUAUUUUAUUUAAAUUAGAUGAAAAAUGUUAUGGGUCCCCAUCCAUAUACCUUGCUCAACUAUCCUCAGACCAGAUCCAGAAUUCACCCUGCUAUUUCUCAAGAGUCUGACCUGCAUCAACAGCCUCCCUUAUUCUGUGAUCCCAGUUUUGGAGAUCAAGGACAAGUUCAUUCUGGGUUGGCUGUGUCCAACUACUUUAGGCCAGCUACAUGCCCACUGGAAGCCAGGCUCUUGCCAACAGCUGUCUCCACAUUCCUCUUUCUAUGUCUGUUAUUUGUCUGUAGGUUCUGGUAACUAUUUCCUCAUUUUGCCCCUUCUGGCCUAGGGUACCACCAAUCCCUCCUCCUAAUCGUGCUUUCACUAGCCUCUAAGUACUUGUAGCUUCCUUCCUUUACCUUCACCUUAAUAAAUUAUCCCCCUACCAUCUCUCUUCAAAGCACCCAGUUUGAGUGUGCCAUCUAUUUCUUGCCAGGAUCCUGCUUGACACAUCAACCAAGCUGCACAGCUGGAGGAGUACUGUGCUGAACUUUAGGAAUGAAGCCACAGGGCCCUCACUGCCUGCAUAGUUACCUUGGUCAUCUUCUGCUUCCCUGAAAGACUGAGUUCAGUUGGUUCAGGUACAUGCAUAUCCAGACACGUCAGGGAAAACUCCAUUUUGUAAGAAUCUCGACUUACAAUGCCAAAGGCUUGAAAGUUUGCAGACACUGGAGAAAGUACAGUUCUCCAUCUUACUCUUACUGUAAACUUGGAGAUACAUGCAUUUUUUUUAAACUGUGCAUGUUGAAAUGCUGAAGUGUAGCAGAUCAUUUCCAGUGAGACACCACCAACAACAUUUGAUGAGGCCAAAAAAUCAGAAAGACGGAAAUGAAAGAUCUCAGGAAUCUCCGGAAGAGCUCAUCGAACACUGCCUUUAUGUCAGACCAUUUUAUGCACAGCUCUGUUAAUCAGGAUUGGAUAUACCUCCAUGAGGGAGUCUUAAACUGAGGGAAACAGAUGCCAUAACUAAGAAAAAGAAUGCAAUAGAAGUUUUUCUUAAUGCCUAUUCUGCGACGCACAACUUUCCUAAGCCAAAAUUUUAACCUUAUGAACAAUCAGUUCUGUGCUGCCAUUGGCAGAGAACUAUAAAUUAAAGAUAAGCAGUGGUUUAGACUUUCCAGGGCCUUGACUCAGGAGUAAUUCUGGAAUCCCAACCAAAUACGUAUUCGGUUAAGCAAUUUGGCACAUUUUUCUAUUUUGAGGCAUUAAACUAUAAUUACGAGUCACUUUAAUUUUAUUCCAAAUAAAUGUCCCUAAAGUAGAUAUAACUAGAGCAGGUUUCUUAAAAAAAAAAAAAGAAAGAAAAAGAAACAGGAACACAGAAAAUAAAACCAAAGAAAAACAAAAGCAAAACAAAACUUAGUCAAGCUAAUAAAUUGCAUGUAUGGUGUGUUUUAUAAUUUGAUCAGUAUAAAUAAUUGAGUGUGUUAGUGCCUCAAGAGGACUCAGAGGUCUCAAAUACUCAACAGGUUAUCUGAAGGAAUUUCUCAUUGGAGAAAAAAAUAAAGUUCUUUUGAACAACCCACCUAAUCAAGACAGUAAUAAUUUAACCUCUUCUCAAGUUUUUCCUUGAUUAAAAAAUCCGUUUGUUAUUCUGCUCUAGUGUUUGUUAUAGAUGGUUCAACAAGACUGGUGUUUUCUUAGUUUGAAAAGUAAGCUGAUAUGAGGGGUGGGGAAAGGAAGGGCAGAAAGUUAUUAACAAUCAGCAAGUAAAGAAAAAUAGUCUGAACGUUGUAAUGAAAGGAAGAAAGGACAGGAAAGGAAAGGUAGGGCUGGUGGAGAGUGACUGUUCUGCCUGCUUACUGCACAGGCCAAGAACAAACCCACAAUAAAUACUCCAGCUCCUCAGAAAAAAAGGUUUCUGUGCUGAAUUCUGUAGAUCUACCUGAAAUAAAGAUGAUGAAUUAGAAAACCUGUCUCAUCCCUUCAAGUCUUGUGAUUUAUUUAUUCAGUGCCAUUUCUUGCAUAACUAAUUUUUAAAGUGGGAUAAGUAGAAGAAUAAAAUGUGAUUUCUUUUUUCAGAGAGCCCAAAAUAUAGAAAGGUAUUCAUAUACUGCUUACAUAAAGUUAUCUUCUUUUUCUACGUUCUAUAUAAUGUUCCUUAAACUCAAGCUCUCUUCUCCCCAUCUCUACCUUACCCCUCUGGGUAGCAAGGAAAAAGAAAAAUAAUGU